rnacentral:rRNA from 1 species
UACGUAGGGUGCAAGCGUUGUCCGGAAUUAUUGGGCGUAAAGAGCUCGUAGGCGGCUUGUUGCGUCGACCGUGAAAACCCGCGGCUCAACUGCGGGCUUGCGGUCGAUACGGGCGAGCUGGAGUUCGGUAGGGGAGACUGGAAUUCCUGGUGUAGCGGUGAAAUGCGCAGAUAUCAGGAGGAACACCGGUGGCGAAGGCGGGUCUCUGGGCCGAUACUGACGCUGAGGAGCGAAAGCGUGGGGAGCGAACAGG